rnacentral:lncRNA from 1 species
AGCUUUCAAGCCAUCCCUUUUCUAAUUCCUUGAUGGAAGCCUAGUUCAUGUUUUGGAAACAUUGAUAACCAUGUGAGCGACGUCCAGAGAAAAAAAUGUUUAGGGGAUACUGCUGCAAAUUAACUAAAAACUCUUUCUUUGAGACAGCCCAACUCUAACCUUGGUUGCCUUGUAUCCCUUGAGGCCUUUGCAGCACUCUCGCGUAGUUCGUCCAGAAGAUCACAGUUCAUCAUGACUCUGAGGUUGUUCCUUGUUCAUCAUCUCUAGUUUAUCUUGGAGCUCCUAUAACAUUUCAUUAUUACACCAUUAGAAGUUUUACAGAAAAUAUAGGUAGAGAGACUCGAGACCAUAAGAGGGAAAAGAUAGUUUUUCAGUAAGAAAUGUUGGAAAAAGAUUUGAUAUGGAGGGGUAGGGAUGAAAGACGAGGGUAGCUAAUACAGGGUUUAGGAGAGAACCUUCAGCUUUUCUUCGAGACAAAGAGCUGGGGUAGACAAAAAUGCCAUAUAUCUGUCGUAACAAACUUAGUCAGAUGGAAGUGCACAAAAGCCACGACACAUAAAAGCAGGCAAAAUACAUAAGUUACCACCUCAACUAUGGAUCAAAUCCUUGUUUCACUUUUUGAGGACGAAAAUAACUUUACACACUCAACCUUUCCAGGGUGUGUCAAAUACACAAUACUUUUGCUACACGGCAUGCGCGUGUAACAAAAAUUGUAAGCGCGUUAAACUGUAGGAUUUUUAUCCCAGUUCUUACUUAAAGGACAUGUGUCAAAAUUUUAAAUUUUUUUUGUUUCCC